UGUCGCUCCCGCAAGGCCUACCAGAGGACCCUCAUGGUGUGGUAGGGGGUCCUGGCAGGGGCCAGGGGCCAGGGUGGAGACUUGGCAGUGGGGGUGGGUUUGGUGUCCCCACAGACGAGUUUGCCGUGAGCAUUCCUGGAUGUGGCAACCUCAGUCUCAAGAAGAGCGACAGGACGCCAGCUCCCAUGCAGAGACAGAUCCAGCUUCUUGCAUGACUGCCUGAAAUCCGCCUCCUGUCAGAUCAGCAGGGGCAUUGGAUUAUGAUAGGAGUGAGAACACCAUUGUGGACUGCGCAUGCCAGGGAUCUAGGUUCCGCGCUCCUUAUGAGAAUCUGAUGCCUGAUGAUCUGUCACUGUCUCCCAUCACCCCCAGAUGGGACUGUCUAGUUGAAGAAAAACAAGUUCAGGGCUCCCACUGAUGCUACGUUACGGUGAGUUGUAUAAUUAUUUCAUUAUAAUUACAAUGUAAUGAUAAUAGAAAUAAAGGGCACAAUAAAUAUAAUGAGCUUGAAUGAUCCUGAAACCAUACUCUGCUGCUCCAUGGAAAAAUUGUCUUCCAUGAAAUCAGUCCCUGGUGCCACAAAACUAGUCCCCGAUGCUGCCCUAGAGUUUAUAUACUGCACAGCUUUCUGACGAAACACAAACUUCCCUCUCUAUGAGAGAUGGCUGAGGCUGAGAAAUUCGAAAGAAGAUCAGGUCAGUAGACCUUUUUUUUUUUUUUUUCAGACAGAGUCUCACCCUGUCGCCCAGGCUAGAGUGCAGUGGUGAGAUCUCAGCUCACUGCAACCUCCGCCUCCUGUGUUCAAGCGAUUCUCCAGCCUCAGCCUCCCAAGUAGCUGGGACUACAGGUGUGUGCCACCACGCCUGGCUAAUAUUUUUGUAUUUUUA
rnacentral:lncRNA from 10 species